rnacentral:rRNA from 1 species
UGCAACCUGAACUCAGGCG